rnacentral:rRNA from 1 species
UUGAACGCUGGCGGCAGGCUUCACACAUGCAAGUCGAGCGGAUGAAGGGAGCUUGCUCCUGGAUUCAGCGGCGGACGGGUGAGUAAUGCCUAGGAAUCUGCCUGGUAGUGGGGGAUAACGUCCGGAAACGGGCGCUAAUACCGCAUACGUCCUGAGGGAGAAAGUGGGGGAUCUUCGGACCUCACGCUAUCAGAUGAGCCUAGGUCGGAUUAGCUAGUUGGUGGGGUAAAGGCCUACCAAGGCGACGAUCCGUAACUGGUCUGAGAGGAUGAUCAGUCACACUGGAACUGAGACACGGUCCAGACUCCUACGGGAGGCAGCAGUGGGGAAUAUUGGACAGUGGGCGAAAGCCUGAUCCAGCCAUGCCGCGUGUGUGAAGAAGGUCUUCGGAUUGUAAAGCACUUUAAGUUGGGAGGAAGGGCAGUAAGUUAAUACCUUGCUGUUUUGACGUUACCAACAGAAUAAGCACCGGCUAACUUCGUG